rnacentral:misc_RNA from 1 species
CAAACUAGUUGAGAUCAACUAUAUUUGUUUGAGACCAAUUCCGCUUUAAUAUUAAAAAGUUAUAAAUCUUAUGAUACUACUCUCUCCAUGUCAUUUUAUGUCUCCACCUUGUCCUUCUCACUCUUUUCAACACUAAUUUAUCACAUUUAGAACAUGACCAAACUAUUUGAAUCGACAUUAUUUCAUUUUAUCCCAAAGUAUGCUACAUGCACUCUUUAGCAUGUGUGGUCAUUCCUAAUGUUAUCUAUUAUCGUAAUACCAGACAUUCAUCUUAACAUCAGCGUAUCUAUCACUCUCAUUUUGUUGAUGUGUUGUACCUUAGAUGCCCAAUAU